CUGCCGCGGUAAUACGAAGGGGGCUAGCGUUGCUCGGAAUUACUGGGUGUAAAGGGUGCGCAGGCGGUCUUGUGCGUCAGAAGUGAAAUAUCACGGCUUAACCGUGAGGGUGCUUUUGAAACGGCGAGACUUGAGUACGGGAGAGGAUGAUGGAAUUCCUGGUGUAGCAGUGAAAUGCGUAGAUAUCAGGAGGAACACCGGUGGCGAAGGCGGUCAUCUGGCCCGGUACUGACGCUCAGGCACGAAAGUGUGGGUAGCAAAC
rnacentral:rRNA from 1 species